rnacentral:tmRNA from 1 species
GGGGCUGAUUCUGGAUUCGACGGGAUUUGCGAAACCCAAGGUGCAUGCCGAGGGGCGGUUGGCCUCGUAAAAAGCCGCAAAAAAAUAGUCGCAAACGACGAAAACUACGCUUUAGCAGCUUAAUAACCUGCUUAGAGCCCUCUCUCCCUAGCCUCCGCUCUUAGGACGGGGAUCAAGAGAGGUCAAACCCAAAAGAGAUCGCGUGGAUGCCCUGCCUGGGAUUGAAGCGUUAAAACGAAUCAGGCUAGUCUGGUAGUGGCGUGUCCGUCCGCAGGUGCCAGGCGAAUGUAAAGACAGACUAAGCAUGUAGUACCGAGGAUGUAGGAAUUUCGGACGCGGGUUCAACUCCCGCCAGCUCCACCA